UGAGCUCUUCCGAUCUCUGGCGGAGAGGCUGGUGCAGCUGGAGUGGAAUGAGUGGGUGAUGGAUGGAGAAGCGGGAUGUGGAAUCAGAGCAAUCGUGGGGAGGGGAGUAUCACACCCCGUGGGACCUCAAAGGCCACUUGAAGACAGAGUGAGGUGUGGGGCACAGCAGUGUCACGAUCUGACUUGACAUUUAUAAAGGCUCACUCUGGGCCCGUGUUAGGAAUUCUGUGUAGGGGAGCACGGGUGGGAGCAGAGCAAUCUGCGAGGUGAUUAGUGCAAGAAGCGAGGACAGAGACCGCAGUGGUUGGGUCAGAAGGCUAACCAAGGAGGUGGGAGAAGGGGAAGGCGGCCUUGGUGCUAAAACCAUAACGCUAAAGUCCUAUUUCUUCUUAAAGUUGUGGUACUAGCUGGUGGCUUAGUGUGGCACACAUGUUGUCGAAUGUC